rnacentral:tRNA from 11 species
AUUUAUCUAAUAUAUAAGUAUAUUUGACUUCCAAUCAAAAAGUUUGUUAAAGACAAGAUAAAUA